GAUUUCAUGAAGAGUUCUUAACUCCCCCCAGCUAAUGCUAAAAAUGUGUCCUGGUUCUUACACGGCACUGCUAGUAACGUGGCAACCUGAGACUGUUCCCAGGCUCAAUUCACAGGAGCCCAUGUUCAGCGGUUAUUUAAUAGCUUUGAAAUGCCAUUCACCUGUGGCCCAUUUCAAGUUUCCCAUGAUUCUUAGGAAGACCCUGGCCUCCAUCUUGAAAACGGAAAAUAAAAACAGCAGACCUAUGAAGGUCGAAGGGGAAGAAAAGCUGUAUCGAUUGUUGAGAUCUGGCGACUUGUUUAAAUUUCAUCAGCCUCACUUCUAUGAACUCUCAGGACAAACUGCAACAGAGUCACAUCGAGUUGAGACUUCUCCAAGGGCCAUGGGGUUGACAUCUGUAUUCUCAGGCCUCACGUGUACCAGCUCUCUGCUCUCCUUUGCCUUGGGACGUUCCAUCCCUGGAAGUUUCCCUGCCCACAUCUUUGUAGAGAGUCCAUUCUCCAAGCUUCAGUGUGUCAUCUGUGAGGACCGUGACCCACCUGGUACAUCGCCUCAGGGCAUUCAUUUCAGGCUCCUUCUAAAUGGCCAAGAGACAACACCAACAUUUUUGUAAUGGCCUGCAAGGCCUUCCGAGAUCUACCUCCUGCAACUCAGCUUCUCCUGUGCUCUCCUUCUGGACUCACUCUGCCUCAGCAACACUGGUCCCUGUUGCCCCACCAAUAUGCCAGGUAAACCUCAGGUUCUCCUCCUGCCUUUUGCUAAGUAUAUGUCUUGAUGACAAGCCUUCUGCUGAUGAGCUGUGUUUCUGGACCGAUCAUGGUAGAAGUCAAUUAACGUGUCCCUCACUUGGGGUUUCUCAAGGCUGCACUGAUGAGGAAACUGAAACAGAAAAUCCAGAGUAAAUUCCACCAGGCCACACAGCAAGGUCUGAUAGAGCCAGGAGAGACUUUAUGAAAUCCAGACUCUCACACUAAUGCUCUAUCAGCUAGACCUCCAUGUGAGUCUCCCCAAUGUAGGUAGGAAGUGCUUUCCCUAAAAUGCUCAUAAAGCAAAUCAGAGCAAUGCUGCAUUCCAUGUGAUUUCUAAUUUGAAAUGCAAACAAUUGCCAAUUUGUUUGACUUGUAUUUAUAAUUAUUUCCUUGUGAAUUACUCAUCACUAAAUGCUUUAUAAAUAUUUUCUCUUUUUUUCCUCAAUGUCUAUGGAAUGAUCACAGCAUAGAAAAUGUUGGCUUUCAAGGAUUUAUUAAUAUCUCCUUUUGAAAUAACAUGUAUUUGUAAGACAGAAUAAAAUCACUUUAAAGAAACAAA
ensembl:lncRNA TEX41 testis expressed 41